UACGUAGGGUGCAAGCGUUGUCCGGAAUUAUUGGGCGUAAAGAGCUUGUAGGCGGUUUGUCGCGUCUGCUGUGAAAUUUCGGGGCUCAACCCCAAACUUGCAGUGGGUACGGGCAGACUAGAGUGUGGUAGGGGAGACUGGAAUUCCUGGUGUAGCGGUGAAAUGCGCAGAUAUCAGGAGGAACACCGAUGGCGAAGGCAGGUCUCUGGGCCACUACUGACGCUGAGAAGCGAAAGCAUGGGGAGCGAACAGG
rnacentral:rRNA from 1 species